AUUGAACGCUGGCGGCAUGCCUUACACAUGCAAGUCGAACGGCAGCACGGGAGCAAUCCUGGUGGCGAGUGGCGAACGGGUGAGUAAUAUAUCGGAACGUGCCCAGUCGUGGGGGAUAACGUAGCGAAAGCUACGCUAAUACCGCAUACGAUCUAUGGAUGAAAGCGGGGGAUCGCAAGACCUCGCGCGAUUGGAGCGGCCGAUAUCAGAUUAGGUAGUUGGUGAGGUAAAGGCUCACCAAGCCGACGAUCUGUAGCUGGUCUGAGAGGACGACCAGCCACACUGGGACGUGAGACACGGCCCAGACUCCUACGGGAGGCAGC
rnacentral:rRNA from 1 species